rnacentral:rRNA from 1 species
GUGGAUUAGAUACCCUGGUAGUCCACGCUGUAAACGAUGGAUACUAGCUGUUGGGGGUAACUUCAGUGGCUAAGCGAAAGUGAUAAGUAUCCCACCUGGGGAGUACGAACGCAAGUUUGAAACUCAAAGGAAUUGACGGGGGCCCGCACAAGCGGUGGAGCAUGUGGUUUAAUUCGAUGAUACGCGAGGAACCUUACCAAGGCUUAAAUGUAGAUUGACGUAUUUGGAAACAGAUAUUUCUUCGGACAAUUUACAAGGUGCUGCAUGGCCGUCGCCAGCU